CAGCUUUGGGACAAAGAUGGGGCACAUGAUGCAGCCAGCGGUCACAUUGAUACAAUUUUGCAUUUGGUCGCAAUUCUCUUAAAAGCUUUUUGCUCCCAAAAAAAGAAAGAAAAAGAAGUUGAAAUAAAGUCACUGCUAGAGACAAAAUCCUUCAUUAUUUUUCCUCUUAAAUGCGAGGAGAGGCCAGAAAGUGAAGGUGUUAAUGAUCGCUCGUCUCCAGCGGUAACGGUGGGCUGUUGCUCUCCAGUCUAAAUGCCUGCAGCACACCUGCUGGGAUGAUGGGGCCACAGUACGUCUUUCUUUCUUUCUUUCUUUUUUCAGGGCAAGGAAGGUCCGCCAGGCCCAAUUGGGCUCCCCGGGGCUACAGGAGACAAGGGCACACCAGGGGAACCUGGAGUACCGGGAAAAGAUGGCCUUAAAGGACAGAAGGGUGACUUGGGUGGACUUCCUGGACCACAGGGGCCACCUGGACCCAAAGGGGAGCCUGGAGAGCCUGUUUCUGGAAAUCUGGCGGACGGUAUGACGGGGCCCAGAGGAUCUCGAGGGCCAAAGGGGGAGAGAGGGGUUCCUGGUGUACCCGGAGAGCCAGGAGAAAAAGGUGAACCUGGAAUCAGCAUCAGAGGGCCUUCGGUGAGUAAACUACAUCAAGAAAUCACUUAAUACUGUACACUUUCCCAAUAGAAAAUAAAUGUAUAUUAAUGAACGAUAUGUCA
rnacentral:lncRNA from 1 species